CGCCUGGGGAGUACGGGUGAGGUAACGGCUCACCAAGGCAUCGACGGGUAGCUGGUCUGAGAGGAUGAUCAGCCACACUGGGACUGAGACACGGCCCAGACUCCUACGGGAGGCAGCAGUAGGGAAUAUUGCACAAUGGGCGAAAGCCUGAUGCAGCAACGCCGCGUGCGGGAAGAAGGCCCUAGGGUUGUAAACCGCUUUCAGCAGGGAAGAAAGUGACGGUACCUGCAGAAGAAGGUGCGGCCAACUACGUGCCAGCAGCCGCGGUGACACGUAGGCACCAAGCGUUGUCCGGAUUUAUUGGGCGUAAAGAGCUCGUAGGCGGUUCAGUUAGUCGGGUGUGAAAACUCUGGGCUCAACCCAGAGACGCCACUCGAUACUGCUGUGACUAGAGUGCGGUAGGGGAGCGGGGAAUUCCUAGUGUAGCGGUGAAAUGCGCAGAUAUUAGGAGGAACACCAGUGGCGAAGGCGCCGCUCUGGGCCGUAACUGACGCUGAGGAGCGAAAGCGUGGGUAGCAAACAGGAUUAGAUACCCUGGUAGUCCACGCCGUAAACGUUGGGCACUAGGUGUGGGUCUCAACCAACGAGAUCCGCGCCGUCGCUAACGCAUUAAGUGCCCCGCCUGGGGAGUACGG
rnacentral:rRNA from 1 species